UCGCCGCUCCUCUUCUCAUCUUCUCUCUUUCUCCCUGGCGAUUCUAGGGUUUCAACACCAGAUCGACUUCUCUCUUCCUCAUUAUCAUCACGUGAGGAACUCUCCGACACAAGACCGACUUCCUCAUUAUCAUCACCACCAUUUCCUCUCCUUCUCCGGGCGAUUCUAGGUUGUACAUGUAGCAGUCACUUCAAGAUCUACGCUUCCUCAGUGAUGAAUCUCUCUAGAUCCGACACCAGAUUGAUCUACGGUUUGGUUGUGGGUGGAAGAUGAUGAAGAUGUCAUAGAUCUACCGUUUGGUGGCCAGAUUUAUCUGUGUUGGAGGUUAAAGAAUGGGUUCAAGCUCAGUUGGGUCGGAUUGAAGAAGAAACCAGACGUUUAGCUUCCAUUCAAGAGGUAUCCGGUGCCGCAGCGGGCGGAAAGUUAUGGAUGCAGUGAAGAGUAUUUUGGAUGGUGGAUUAGAGAGAGGAAAAUGGGUGUUUGAAUCAAUUAUGAAAUUGAAAAGCUCUGUUUGCCACAAAGGCUGCGUGUUGCUUGUCAGCUGUUUUUACCGUGUUGCUUGGUUUCAGGCGUUAUUGUGCAGAAUGAAGUAAACCUGGGUAUUCGCUUACUCUGAUGUUACUCCUUUAAUCUAGAAGAUAGUCUUAGAAGAGUUGAAGAUAUAGUCCCACAAACUAUUAGUUCUCAAGUAGCAACAAAAACUUCAGUUACUGCACCUUUUGAAGGCAAAAUUUGUUUUGAAAUAUUGAUUUGGCUAGAUGCUUGGGUUGGAUAACGGGUCAAAACAGGUUCUGUUUUGAGACGGGCUGUAUUGGGUUGGAUUGAGUGAGAUGGCAGGUUAAAUUGGGUAAUGGGUCAGACGGAUUGAGUGAAUCGCAACAAAUCACUUUCAGUACGGGUCAAAACGAGCCGUUGGGAUCUGCGGAAUUCUUUAUGAAGGAAUCAAAGUUUUUAAUACACGGAAGCGGUAAAGACAAUCCCUAGGCGGUACCUCACCGCCGACUAGCGCCUAGCGCCUUCUACAACAUUGAAUCCUCCAACGGGAUUCGUGUUUGAAAAGCAACAAAUGCGAGGAUUAUAUUUCAAUCAAUCUCCCGCAAAGGAGGAACAACGAUUCAAUGAUUGCAACUGUUGAAUCAACAAAACUAGAUUAUGAAUGGAGGAACGACUGAACAAAACAUGUUGGAGCUGAUUCAUUCGCAUUGGCGAAGGGAUCCAGUUUGUGAGGUGCGGUGUCUUGGCGUUCCGACUGUCGACACGCGAACCCUCUGUCGCGUUCUACAAGUUUGUUCAGACAAUUUUGAUUCAUCACUUAGGUUCUGUAAGUAGAUUAAGUUAACUGUUUAAGUGAAGCAUUUAUGGUUAAUGUUAGUUGAAAUGAAAGGAGAAAACUGGUGGUAAGAUUCUUCUUAGGACUGGUGGUGUGUUGUAUCUUUUUCGGGGUAAACAUUAUGAUCCGCACAACAGGCCGAAAUACCAUGUGAUUCUGUGGAAGCCUGCAACUCCGGUUUACCCAAAGCUUAUACAAGAAUCACCAGAAGGGUUGACGAAAGAAGAAGCUGAUGAGCUGAGAAUGAAAGGGAAAAAACUUCCCCCGAUUUGUAAACUAGGUAAGAACGGUUGGAGAGUAGAAAUGUCUCACAACUGUAGAGGAUCCGGAGGUGGCGGAGGGCGCGUGGAGGUCGUGGUCGCUCUGGUGGUUCUGAUUUGAAAUGCUACCAGUGUGGUGACGUUGGCCAGUUUGCUCGUGAGUGCCGUGGUGGCGGUGGUGAUAGACGCCGCCGCCGCGGCCGUAGCCCAGUCAACAGGUACCGACGGAGUCCUAGCUACGGUCAGAGGUGUGAAUAAUACUGCACAUGAAGUUUUUAGAUGGGCUCGGCAUCCCUACUGAAGAUGUUCUGGUUGAUCAGUUUACUUCUUUGGGUCGCAUGCUCUACAAGGCUCCAUCUAAUGAAAAGUGGGGAGAACAUGAAGGGGAGUGGGAGCGGCAGCAAACUUACUACUGCAACGGAUGAUGACCUAGAAUUUGAUGUUCAUGAGGAAUCUUCAGAUAGUUUUCUACUCUGGAUAAACAAUGGAGAGACUCUAUGCCACUAAUGCGUCCGCGUUGAUGAAAUGAGUUGUUUGAAACGGGUCGUGUUAGUCGACCUAAAAUCAGUUAUUUUCAUGUUCGGGGAGCGUCAAGAAUUGCCGUCCCUUGUGUGGCAUUUGACUGAUUUUGUGUGUGAAUGCAUGAUUGAUACACGCAUUGAAGGGGGUGAAAAGAGAGGAUGUUCAACUGGCUACAAAAUUUGGGAUCAAAUAUGGGUAGAGAAUGGGUGAGGUGGAAAUCCAUGGUGAACCGGAAGAAGUGAUAGCAAACGUGGUGGAAGGAAGCAGGAUGUUAGGAAAGACUGUUGUGAAGGUGAAGAAGUUCGUGAUGAUUUAGAAAUGAAUGAUCGAGAAGUUGUUGCUAAAACGAGUCAUUAUGCUUAGUUUAAUAAGUUAGAAUCUGAAGAUGAUAUACUUGCCCUGAAACUUUCAUCGUUAGGAACCUUGACAUCGAAUGUGAGCUCUUUGUCCAAUGAAGAGUCGGGCAAUGUCUCCACUGUCAAUUCGCUUUCCGUUAGAGAUCCUACAUCAAGCUUUACGAUUCUCCACCAAAAUCAUCAACCGAAGAAGACGAUGAGCUAGCAAAAUUUCCUGCUUCUCGGAAGAAGAAAUUGAGGUUGCUGCAGAGAGGCCAGAUCCUAUGAUAUUUCUAUAAAGCAUGCGGAGUUUAUAUGCGUAGAAGACGAGGAAGUAGUCCGUGUAGGCCGGUCAAAACAGUCAGCGUGCUAAUGGAGGAGUUUUUUUGUUGCAGAUCUACCAAUUGGAUGGUGCUAGAGGUUGAAAUUCUGACUGUGAUGCCUAGCAAGUCAUUUUUUAUUCAGAUGGGAUCUGCAAAUUAUUAAUUUGACAUUGCUCAAAUUGGAGGUAGGAUAGUGGUGGAGAAGACGAAAGGAAAGAAGGCAGAGGUGGUGACGAGAGAGUACAACAUUAAUCUUGACAAACGGCUGCCUGGAUGGUAUAUUGUUUAUAGUGGUUGAUUAAAAUUUUCGAGUUCUGUAUUGGAUUUUUGAUAUUCUGAUGGCUUGAUUCACUCUUUUUGAUGUUCGAUUGCGUCUAAAGUUGUGAAAAUUUUAAAUCGCAGUUGCGAUUCUGUUAAAAUGUAGUUAUGUCUACUUGAUGUGUGGAUCAAUUGUACACAAUUUGUAGGGUUUUAAUUUGUUUAUUGGUUAUUGCUGAUGCUUUAUUAAUUUGGAUGCCAA